UAACCUCUGACGAAUAAAUCGUGAACGUUG
ncrna:unclassified sequences L19-Flavobacteria ribosomal protein leader